GAUGAAGAACGUAGCGAAAUGCGAUACGUAAUGUGAAUUGCAGAAUUCAGUGAAUCAUCGAAUCUUUGAACGCACAUUGCGCCUGCCAGCACUCUGGCAGGCAUGCCUGUUCGAGCGUCAUUUCAACCAUCAAGCCCUAGGCUUGCGUUGGAGCCCUGCGGCUGCCGCAGGCCCCUAAAAGCAGUGGCGGGCUCGCUAUCACACCGAGUGCAGUAGAUUACUCUUCGCUCAGGGCGUGUGGCGGGUUCCAGCCGUGAAACCCCCUACUUCUCAAGGUUGACCUCGGAUCAGGUAGGAAUACCCGCUGAACUUAAGCAUAUCAAAAGCGGAGGA
rnacentral:misc_RNA from 1 species